ACACUUAUCUGGCUGGGGAGAUACCAUGAUCACGAAGGUGGUUCCCAGAGUGAGGCUCAUCCAUUGCACUUUGGUUGUGCUGACCCCUGUGAUUUCCCCAAAUGCAGAAUGUGUAGUAGUGAGGGACUGUGUUUGUGCUUUCCCCUG
ensembl:snRNA U1 U1 spliceosomal RNA